CGCUCCGACUUCUUUUGGUGGUGUGGUGCGACUCCACGUGGCAACAAAUUGAGGAUUAUUGUAGUAACAAGAACGAAUAGGCCUUAAAAGCACGCCCUACUCUCUGUGCGCAAUGACGCACUUGCGCAGGAGCAAUGUCACAGUCGCAACACCGAGACAGCGCCACCGAUGUAUUCUAAACUGAAUAAUAAUUUUCAUAAACCAUAGAUACGGAUGUUCAUCCUUAUUCCAACAACGAUUUGCAUAACAUCUCCAAUCCCUUGUGAGGGUCGUGUAGUGGGGCCCAUGAGCGGUGGAUGAGGCUGGGGUCCAGAUCCAGCGGCGCCCUGCAGCCCCCCAAUGGUCUCCCCCACUAUGAAGGCUCUGGUGGACGCUGUGUGGGCGGUGUGGAGCAUCGGUGCCUCCGUCUAUGACUACAUCCACACCAGCGCCAUGGAGGAGCGCAUCCACACCCUGGAGACCGUCAUCACCAUUCACCAGUGUGUCAUCGCAGCGCUGACCGCUGGAGUGGUGGUGCUCUUCACCUACAUACUGCUGAGGAAGCACUGAGGGGGAGUGAGGAAGGAGAAGCCACGCAGGGCCCAGGAGGCAAGUUUUGAGGACAACACAGAAUUACCAUAGUGAUCAGAAGCAUUGAGAUUCUGGGUCUGGAAAGUCAUCCAGAGCCCUGGAGAGGCCUACAUGGAUUAGAUGGAGCAGGACUUGAUUAAUAAGGGAUUUUGGUUACUAGCAAAGUUUUUGGCUAUUUGGCCUUUAUCUCGACUGCCAAUUGUACCAUUCUGCUGCGGAGGUGUUGCUGGACACUGUGUCUCAGGGAGUCAAUGGUUUCACUCACUUUGCACCCAUGGAAGAUGAAGACAUGGGCAGAGAUGGGCCAAAGAUGCAUAAAAAUGUAUCUUUUUACAAAUACAAGUUACUCUAAUGACCAAUGUAUCAAACUAAAAUACAAAAUACUUUUGCGAA